UACGAAGGGGGCUAGCGUUGCUCGGAAUGACUGGGCGUAAAGGGCGCGUAGGCGGAUGGCACAGUCAGAUGUGAAAUUCCCGGGCUUAACCUGGGGGCUGCAUUUGAUACGUGUGAUCUAGAGUGAGGAAGAGGGUCGUGGAAUUCCCAGUGUAGAGGUGAAAUUCGUAGAUAUUGGGAAGAACACCGGUGGCGAAGGCGGCGACCUGGUCCUUGACUGACGCUGAGGCGACGAAAGGCGUGGGGAGCAAACAGG
rnacentral:rRNA from 1 species